rnacentral:lncRNA from 1 species
UCUUCAGAUGUGAUUUCCUUUGUUUUCCAGACCUUAGGUAACUUUAUCUACUCUUUCUUUAGACCCUUUGACCAUUGUCUACCAAAUUCUCUUCUCAGAUGAUUUUUGGGCUAGGAGAGCCAACCAUGUUUAUGGUCAAGUGGAAAUUGAUGAAGUGCGUAAUGAGCUCGCAAGUUAUGUGUUGAAAAACAUCCUCAAGCUGUAAUCUAUGCAGUUGCUCAUGCCCUAGAAGCUGUGAAGUGAAAUAGGCUAGAAAUGUGUUUUUGUGCUCCAAAGUGACAAUUUAAAGUGCAUUUCUUCACUUAUUUUGCUAGUGGAGUAGUAUAGAUGUGCUCCAUAUUUUGGUGUUGGCAUGGAGUAGUAUAGUACUCCUUUUUGGCAAUAUUGUCUAAUACAUUUCAGUACAAUUAUGUGGAUUAUAACAAUAUUAGAUAUAUAUUGGUAAGUACUGUUCAUAUGGUAAUUUUUGAUUUCAUUUUCU